rnacentral:piRNA from 1 species
AGAACCUCUGGUUGAAGCCUCCACAC